UACCGCACUUGAGAAAACCUACUUGUGUGCAUUGACUUUUUCAAACAGCAGCUUAUGGUGUGAUAUGGGAUCCGAGGUGUGAGAGAUGCACUAUAAUAGUGGAUCAGUGUGUGUUCAUGCGUAUAAAAAUGGAGUGAAUGAUCGAUGAGAAAUGCCACAGUCAAGCACAAGACAUAGACAAUCACCAAUCCCAAACACCAGUCUACAACAGGACAGAGCAGCUAUGAAAAGCUAGAAGCACGUCUGCCCCAGGAAUUUCUAGGACAUCUGCUGACAGCAUGCAUCUGGCACUGAGUACUUGAUGUGGUUGGUAUUUAGGUUGCUCUUUAUUAUCCAAAUAAGCAACAAAGUGUUCCAUAAGUUGAAAGAAUGGUCUGUAGCUGUCUGAGCC